rnacentral:lncRNA from 1 species
GAAGAAUGGCAGUGGGAACAAUAUUCCAGCAAUGGGAAUCCAUGUCACCCCAAAGCAGAUCAAGAAGUAAAUUAUCUGGAAUGUUGUGAACUUUGCUAUUUGUUUGAACGGUACAGUCUCCACGAAUGAUGCAUGAGGCUUUUCCAUAAUCCUGACACACAAUAAUAGUAAUAAUUCAAUAAAUUGACAGUUGAGGAUAAACUAAGUGUAUACAUUUUUGCAGCUAACUUGUGGCGUCUGCUAGGAGCAAUGAGGAGCAUGACGAGCCUUUCCCAGAACUGGUUUCCAGGGAGACUGUCAAUUGCCAUGUAAGCAAAGUAACC